rnacentral:lncRNA from 1 species
CGAAAUCUCAAUCUUUCCAACAACAAUCUCCAGGGCCGCAUUCCAUCAUCUUUGAGUAACCUAACGGCGAUAGAGUCAAUGGACCUCUCCAGUAACAUGCUUUCAGGAAAUAUUCCUCAACAACUCUCAGAGCUCACAUUCCUUGCAGUCUUUAAUGUGUCAGAUAACCUGCUCACAGGGCCAAUACCACGAGGGAAACAGUUCGACACAUUUUUGAAGAGUUCAUUUGAUGGAAAUCCAGGGUUGUGUGGGGGACCUUUGUCAAAAAAAUGUGAAAACUCCGAGGCUUCACCACCAGAAGAAGAUCCGCACUCAGAAUCUGUGUUUGCAUUUGGCUGGAAGACAGUUCUGAUCGGAUAUGCAAGUGGGACAGUAUUAGGAGUGGUACUUGGGCACAGCUUCAGCACAAGAAAGUAUGAAUGGCUUGCCAAGACCUUUCGACUGCAACCGAAAUCUAAUGGGAGGAGGAGGAGAGUCGGGAGACACAGACAACUGAUGUAAUUAACCGUUUUUCUUUUUCUUUUACGAAGGGGCUGUUUUGUUGUGCUUUAAAUUUCUUUUUCCUUCUUUUCUUCGAAGUUUAAUAAACGUUUUAUUAUUGUAUUUUAUUAUUAAUAAACGUUUUCUAAGAAAUUUAGCAGCCUUAAUUUAAACUGAAACUAUCGUGAUUUAGGAUAAUUUCUGGUUAACAUUAUGGACGAGUGGAAGUACCACAAUAAGAGUAUGUGAUCAACUUCAUAAUUUGUCUCCAGCUCUUACUUAUUACUUAAUUCUGGCGCACGCCAUUGACAAUUAAAAUUAACGAAUCCAUGUGGUCAGGGGUCAGGGAUAAUCAUAAUUCAGUGUAGACAAAAAGCAUGGUUAAUAGCCGGCAAGGGAGAAACGCUGGAUUGGUUUUCUUUUUCUUUUCUUUUUUUAAAUGUAAUCUUUCAAUUUUAUCCUCCAUAAUAAUAUAUCUAUAUAAUUUUUUCAGAAAUUAUCUCUACACCACUUUUGUUUUGUCAUAUGUAUAUCCAAUCACCUCAAAAUUUUGGCAUGUUCUUCACUCCACCUUUAUUUUUAAGUUUUUAUCAAUAAACUACUUUGACACUAUAAAAUGAUCAUUUUACCCUUAAAUGAAUUAAACAACUAUUUUAUUAUACAAUAUUUUAAAAAAUUAAAAAAUUAUAAUUACAAGAAUACCCCUGAUUUUAAUAAAAUAAAUAAAUCUCAAAUCUAAUAUGUUAAUUUUUUAUAAUUACAAUUUCAUUUAAAAAUUAUCAUGUUAAUAUUUUGUAAUUAUAAUUUCAUUCAAUUUCUAUAGAGAAGUUUCUUAAUAUUAAUUAUAGGGAAGUUUACAAUAAUUAUAGGGAGUUUUUCUCUCCAUGUUAAUUUUGGUAAACUUCCCUAUACCUAAUUUAAUUAUAAAAAUUAAAUGAAAUUAUAAUUACAAAAAAUUAUGAUUGCAAGGUGUUAAUUUUUUAUAAUUAUAAUUUCAUUUAAAAAUUAUCAUCUAAGAUUUUGGGAUUUAUUUGUUUUAUUGAAUUUAAAGGUAUUCCUAUAGAUAUACUUUUUUAUUUUUUAAAAUUUUCUAGAAUAAAAUAAUCUUUUAAUUCAUUUAGGGGUAAAAUGAUUAUUUUUAAUGUAAAAGUGAUCAAUUGAUAUAAGUUUAGAAAUAAGAUAGUGAAAAAAAUAAUUUAAAAUUUUUUAAUGAUUAAAUAUACAUACGAUAAAAUAAAAGUGGUUCAAAGAUAAUUUUCCUAACUUUUUUUCUUAAUUUAUAUGAUGUUCUGGACCAAGCGCUUGUUUUCAUGUGUUUGUACAAAUCGAUUUUGCCAAAUUCACCGAAUUAUACUAACAAAAAAGGACCAUUUUCGUGACUAGCUUUAUUUUGAACCCAUGACAAUGGCUCUCUAUUCCAACUCCCGCAUCCACAAACCAACGUUUUUUUUUUUUUGUUCUUCUUCCAAAUCUCUAGAUACAACUCAUAGAAAGAACCUAAAAUUUACUUAAAAGAACGCCAUGUGGUUGAUAGAUGCCCAGCACAAUCCCAUAUUUAAUUUUCUUAAGCAACCUUUGUACGUUUAAUAAUUUUGUUCCAACCAAGUUUGGGGGUGAAUUCUCAAAAGCCAUUUGGGUUGAUGCUAUCUCCUCUUGAUAGUACAGACAAAAGCAUGGUCAAUAGCCGAAUAGGAAGAAUACGACACUCAGAAAGAGCCUAAAAUUUUUUAAUCCUAAAAGAAGAUUUGAUUGUGAAUUAAUCCCAGUAACAUCACAUUUGGCGCCGCCUAUAAAAACAUCUCAAUUCUAUGCCUGACCCUCCAAACAAAAUCCUCCAGCCUUCCUAUCAUAGAAAGUUUUAAAAGGAAUUGUGUUUGAUACACUAAGGCCAAGCUGUUAUCCUACAUCUACCUAUUUUGGCUUUUUUGAUUACUCACUGACAAUGAGUAACAAAGGCACAGAAUUGGAAUAUGAGAAGCUCUCAAAUCUGAUCACAGCAAUUAUUCUCUCCAACAACAGUUUUGUAGGAGAGAUUCCAACAUCAAUUGCUAAUUUAAAGGGGCUUCGAAAUCUCGACCUUUCCAACAACAAUCCCCAAGGGCGCAUUCCAUCAUCUUUGAGUAACCUAACGGCGAUAGAGUCAAUGGACCUCUCCAGUAACAUGCUCUCAGGAAAUAUUCCUCAACAACUCUCAGAGCUGACGUCACUUGAAUUCUUUGAUGUGUCGGAUAACCUGCUCACAGGGCCAAUACCACGAGGGAAACAGUUCGACACAUUUGGGAAGAGUUCAUUUGACGGAAAUCCAGGGUUGUGUGGAGGACCUUUGUCAAAAAAAUGUGACAACUCCGAGGCUUCACCACCAGAAGAAGAUCCGCACUCAGAAUCUGUAUUUGCAUUUGGUUGGAAGACAGUUGUGAUUGGAUAUGCAAGUGGGACAAUAAUAGGAGUGAUUCUUGGGCACAUCUUCAGUACAAGAAAGUAUGAAUGGCUCGCCAAGACUUUUCACCUGCAACCGAAAGCUAAUGGGAGGAGGAGGAGAGUCGAGAGACAUAGGCAACGGAUGUAAUUAACCUUUUUUCUUUUUCUUGUAUGAAGGGGCUGCUUUAUUGUGCUUUUAAGUUUCUUUUUCCUUCUUUUCUUCGAAGUUUAAUAAACGUUUUAUUAUUGUAUAUGGACUAUAUUGUCAGUGCAAGCAGGCUAACAAUUUAAUGGUUCUUGGCAAUUUUUCCUCCACCACGGCAUUCAUAUUGGCUGCUGCUUCUUUCUUAUUUUUUAUUCAGUACCUUAUUUGAUUGAAGGAUCAUGUAUUUAAUUAACACAAUUUAAGAUAAUAGUUGUACAAGAUUAAUGCAGCAUUCUCUUUUUCAAAACUUGAAAGGAUAUGAUUUGGAAAAAAAUCAUAUAAUUGACGAUAUAUCAGCGAUUUUGGCAUCAGUACAAAGGUCUGGGAACUUUUUGUAUUUUAC